UACGUAGGGUGCAAGCGUUAAUCGGAAUUACUGGGCGUAAAGCGUGCGCAGGCGGUUUUGUAAGUCUGUCGUGAAAGCCCCGGGCUCAACCUGGGAAUUGCGAUGGAGACUGCAAGGCUUGAAUCUGGCAGAGGGGGGUAGAAUUCCACGUGUAGCAGUGAAAUGCGUAGGGAUGUGGAGGAACACCGAUGGCGAAGGCAGCCCCCUGGGUCAACACUGACGCUCAUGCACGAAAGCGUGGGGAGCAAACAGG
rnacentral:rRNA from 1 species